GUGCUUCCGUAGCUCAGAUGGUAGAGCACUUGCCCUUGAAAGGCAAAGGUCCCGAGUUCGAUCCUCGGUCGGGCACA
rnacentral:tRNA from 1 species